CCUGUCAGUGAAGCGGAAGCAAUGGCGUUCGCUCCUUCCUCUGCUUCACUCUCUUCGGCUUCGCCUCUCCCCUUCCUUCUCCGCUCGGAUUCCAUCGCCUCCACGGACGAGAUCAAGCAAGGCCACGCACCCACGGCCUCCUUGGGCGUAAACCACGCUCGAUCCCUCCUCGCCCGCCUCCGCGCCGGCAAUAAGGAUUUGGCCGCGUCGACAUCCAUCGCCUCGUACAGCGAUUCGCUGAAAAGAGGUACCUUUCCGGAUAAUUUCACCUUUCCUCCCCUUCUCAAGCUCCUCGCCGACGCCCACGCGUUCCGGGCCGGGGUCGCCCUCCACGCACACACGGCGAAGAUGGGGUUCGACGCCGAUGUGUAUGUUAGAAAUAGCCUUAUCAGGUUGUACUUUGUGUGCGGAGAGAUCGGUUGUGCGAAGAAGCUGUUUGAUGGAUUUCCUGAGAGGGACUUGGUCUCUUGGACUACUAUGAUUUCGGGGUUCACGAAGGCAGGCCACCCGAAAGAUGCCGUCAAAGUGUUCUUCGAGAUGGUGGAUGAGAAUCUGAGAGUGGAUGGAAUGACCAUUGUCGCGGUCCUGUCGGCCUGCGCUGAGAUCGGGGACUUGGAAUUGGGUAGGAAGUUGCGAAGGUGCGUUGAUGCCUUUCAUUUGGAUGCCGACGUCUUCAUUGACAAUGCUCUUGUAGACAUGUAUUCCAAGUGCGGCGACAUUGACUCUGCUCGCGAGGUGUUCGACAAAAUGCCCUUGAGGAACGUCGUCUCUUGGAACUCCAUGAUUGCCGGGCUAGCUAACAACGGUGAGUUCGAGAUGGCCUUGGUGCUGUUCAGGCAAAUGCAGUGCGAUGAUGUGCAGCCCGACGGCUUUACGCUGGUUCCAGUGCUUAACUCUUGUGCAAGUCUUGGUGCACUUGAGCUAGGAAGGUGGGUUCAUGCUUGCCUCAGUAGAAAAGGCAUCGAAGCGGAUGGUAUCGUAGGGAAUGCCUUGGUUGACAUGUAUGCCAAAUGCGGGAUGAUCGGUCCGGCCAUGGAGGUUUUUAGCAGCAUGUUUCACAGGGAUGUCUACACUUUCACUUCCAUGAUUGUUGGACUGGCAAUGCACGGUCGAGGAGAUGAGUCACUUACACUCUUCGAUGACAUGUUGAGAGCCGGUGUGAGGCCAAAUGAAGUCACAUUUAUUGGAAUUCUGUCAGCGUGCAGCCAUGCCGGUUUCGUUGAAAUUGGCCUUCGUCAUUUCAGGAGCAUUACGGCGACGUAUAACCUCACUGCAAAGAUCGAGCACUAUGGUUGCGUGGUCGAUAUGUUUGCACGAGCAGGGAUGCUAGAUGAAGCACAAGAAUUCAUUUCGAGCAUGCCUAUUGAGCCUGAUGAGUUCAUAUGGGGAUCUCUUCUAGGUGCUUGUAAAAACUACUCAGAGGUAGAUAUCGGGGAAACUGCCUUGGAACGUAUUGUAGAGCUAGACCCGGACGAGGAAGGAGCUUAUAUUCUCAUGUCAAAUCUGUAUGCCUCCUCUAAUCGUCGCAAAGAUGGAUAUCAGAUAAGGAAAACAAUGAGGAAGAACAAGGUCAGGAAGACUCCAGGAUGCAGCCUAAUUGAGGUAGAUGGCAUCAUUCACGAAUUCCAAAAGGGCGACAAGUUGCACCCACAAGCCCAGCAAAUAUACGCCAUGGUCGACGAGUUCAUUCAUCUUCACCGAACUCUUUCUCAUGAAAAGUCAUGCCACCACAGUGAGAGGUUGGCCAUUGCCUUUGGUUUGAUUAGUACAAAGCCUAGCACAUUGCUAAGAAUUGUCAAAAAUCUUCGAGUAUGCAAAUAUUGCCACAUUGCAAUUGAGUCGAUUUCAAGGUUGUACAAUCGGGAGAUCAUCGUCAGAGAUCGAUACCGGUUUCACCACUUCAAGAAUGGAGCAUGCUCAUGUAAUGGGUUCUGGUAAUGUUAGAACGAUUUCUCUUGUUUGCAAAGGUCACAGAACAGGUAAGACUGAAGGCAAUGCCAAGGGCAUUAUAUACUAGUGCUGCUCGAACAGCAACUACAGCAGGCAUGACUGUGAGGUUCAUGCCAGAUUGUUCCGCGAACAAACCUUUACGCUGAAACACAAGAUGAAAACAAAAAAAGAAAACUGAGAAUUUUUCAUCGGGUAUAAACAACCUCGUCUGAACGGUAUGCUGAUGCUUGUCCGGACAACUGAUGUAUGACUGGUUGCAAUAUGUUGAUGCUACCUAUAAGCUCCAUGCCUUCUCUAUCCUUGUUCCUUCUGCGAGAAUCAUCUGAAGGUUAUAUCGAUCUCAUUGUUUUUCAUUUUUCUUUCAUGAAUGAAAACUCAUCAAGAGGGAGGGAACUUGACUACAUUCCCUUCUCGGUGUGCCACUUCUUUAUGACCCCAAACCAACUCCACUGGAAGCACAACCCUACGAGGCGCAUAAGGCUUGCACCGAGAACCUCUCUGAAUGCCAUGAAGAUGGAUGGUUGAGGAGACAUACCGGCUGUUGCAAUGCAAAGCAUGACUCCCUCAAAGUUGCAAGGAACAACGAAUAGAGCAGACUUGAUCCCGUUCAAGGCUAUUUGGGCAACUUUAUCAGCCUUCAUGCCACCUGAGGAUGCUGCAAUUUUGUUUGUAACCUCUGGUCUUCGCUUCAACUCUGCAAUUC